AGUGAACGCUGGCGGUAGGCCUAACACAUGCAAGUCGAACGGCAGCACAGUAAGAGCUUGCUCUUACGGGUGGCGAGUGGCGGACGGGUGAGGAAUACAUCGGAAUCUACUUUUUCGUGGGGGAUAACGUAGGGAAACUUACGCUAAUACCGCAUACGCCCUACGGUUGAAAGCAUGGGAUCCUCGGACCUUGCGCGAUUGAAUGAGCCGAUGUCGGAUUAGCUAGUUGGCGGGGUAAAGGCCCACCAAGGCGACGAUCCGUAGCUGGUCUGAGAGGAUGAUAAGCCACACUGGAAGUGAGACACGGUCAAGACGCCUAAGGGAGGCAGCAGAGGGGAAUAUUGGACAAUGGGCGCAAGACUGAUACAGCCAGACCGAGUGGGAGAAAAAGGCCUUCGGGUUGUAAAGACCUUUUGUGGGGAAAGAAAAGCAGCAGGUUAAGACCACGCUGUUCUGACGGUACCCAAAGAAUAAGCACCGGCUAACUUCGUG
rnacentral:rRNA from 1 species